AGCGCAGGCGGUUGUUUAAGUCUGAAGUUAAAGGCUGUGGCUCAACCAUAGUAUGCUUUGGAAACUGGACAACUUGAGUGCAGAAGGGGAGAGUGGAAUUCCAUGUGUAGCGGUGAAAUGCGUAGAUAUAUGGAGGAACACCGGUGGCGAAAGCGGCUCUCUGGUCUGUAACUGACGCUGAGGCUGAAAGCAUGGGUAGCGAACA
rnacentral:rRNA from 1 species